rnacentral:rRNA from 1 species
GAUGAACGCUGGCGGCAGGCCUAAUACAUGCAAGUCAAGGGGCCCCGCCUUUGGGCGGGGCACCGGCGGACGGGUGAGCAGCGCGUACACAACGUGCCCCUGACCGGGGGACAGCGGCGGGAAACUGCCGGUAACACCCCAUGGCGCCGCGGGGCGGCAUUGCCCGGCGGCGAAAGUUUCGGCGGUCGGGGAUCGGUGUGCGUCCGAUUAGGUAGUUGGCGGGUGACGGCCCACCAAGCCUGCGAUCGGUA